UGGCGGACGGGUGAGUAACACGUGAGUAACCUGCCCUUGACUUCGGGAUAAGCCUGGGAAACCGGGUCUAAUACCGGAUACGACCUCCUGGCGCAUGCCAUGGGGGUGGAAAGCUUUAUUGCGGUUUUGGAUGGACUCGCGGCCUAUCAGCUUGUUGGUUGGGGUAAUGGCCCACCAAGGCGACGACGGGUAGCCGGCCUGAGAGGGUGACCGGCCACACUGGGACUGAGACACGGUCCAGACUCCUACGGGAGGCAGCAGUGGGGAAUAUUGCACAAUGGGCGAAAGCCUGAUGCAGCGACGCCGCGUGAGGGAUGACGGCCUUCGGGUUGUAAACCUCUUUCAGCAGGGAAGAAGCGAAAGUGACGGUACCUGCAGAAGAAGCGCCGGCUAACUACGUGCCAGCAGCCGCGGUAAUACGUAGGGCGCAAGCGUUAUCCGGAAUUAUUGGGCGUAAAGAGCUCGUAGGCGGUUUGUCGCGUCUGCUGUGAAAGCCCGGGGCUCAACCCCGGGUCUGCAGUGGGUACGGGCAGACUAGAGUGAUGUAGGGGAGACUGGAAUUCCUGGUGUAGCGGUGAAAUGCGCAGAUAUCAGGAGGAACACCGAUGGCGAAGGCAGGUCUCUGGGCAUUAACUGACGCUGAGGAGCGAAAGCAUGGGGAGCGAACAGGAUUAGAUACCCUGGUAGUCCAU
rnacentral:rRNA from 1 species